rnacentral:rRNA from 1 species
UAAUACGUAGGGGGCAAGCGUUGUCCGGAAUUAUUGGGCGUAAAGCGCGUGUAGGCGGUCCGGUAAGUCGGUUGUGAAAGUCCAGGGCUCAACCCUGGGAUGCCGAUCGAUACUGUCGGACUAGAGUUCGGAAGAGGCGAGUGGAAUUCCCGGUGUAGCGGUGAAAUGCGCAGAUAUCGGGAGGAACACCAAUGGCGAAGGCAGCUCGCUGGGACGUUACUGACGCUGAGACGCGAAAGCGUGGGGAGCAAACAGGAUUAGAUACCCUGGUAGUCCACGCCGUAAACGAUGGGCACUAGGUGUGGCGGGUGUCGACUCCCGCCGUGCCGCAGCUAACGCAUUAAGUGCCCCGCCUGGGGAGUACGGCCGCAAGGCUA